rnacentral:rRNA from 1 species
UGCGAUGCUGUGAGAAGUUCAUUGAACCUUAUCAUUUAGAGGAAGGAGAAGUCGUAACAAGGUUUCCGUAGGUGAACCUGCGGAAGGAUCAUUG